CAAGAUGUAAGCUGAGCUGGUUUCUAUAUCAGAUCUGGAGAAACGUAUCGUUGCAUCACUUGCUCAGCAAUGGAUCCUCUGCAGUGAACAGGUGCCGUCAG